rnacentral:rRNA from 1 species
AUGGGUAGUGGGCAUUUUGUCGCUGAAGGGUAUGGAAAAGCAGCUUUUAUGAGAAACAUCCAGAUUGUUGACAUCCACAACAAGCUUGUCACUCCAAAUAGACACAAAGACCUUCUUGGAACUAGUGAUAAAACAAAAUAUAGUAUUGAUGGCUAUGUAGUUGAUAAUCAUGGUAUGCAUAUGUACUAUGGUGGACCAGGUAAUUUAGUCUGA